AUACUUACCUGGCAGGGGAGAUACCAUGAUCAUGAUGGUGGUUCACCCAAGGUGAGGCUCAGCCAUUGCACUGAGGCUGUUGCUGACCUUUGCGAAUUCCCCAAAUGUGGGAAUCUCGACUGCAUAAUUUCUGGUAGUGGGGGACUGCGUCCGCGCUCUCCCCUG
rnacentral:snRNA from 1 species